UACGUAGGGUGCAAGCGUUUGUCCGGAAUUAUUGGGCGUAAAGAGCUCGUAGGUGGUUUGUCGUCGUCUGCUGUGAAAUCCCGAGGCUCAACCUCGGGCCUGCAGUGGGGUACGGGCAGACUAGAGUGGCGGUAGGGGAGAUUGGAAUUCCUGGUGUAGCGGUGGAAUGCGCAGAUAUCAGGAGGAACACCGAUGGCGAAGGCAGAGUCCUCUGGGCCGAU
rnacentral:rRNA from 1 species